rnacentral:rRNA from 1 species
UUUUUUGAGAAUUUGAUCCUGGUUCAGGAUGAACGCUGGCGGCGUGCCUUAAGCAUGCAAGUCGAAUGGUCCCGCAGCAAUGUUGGAUAAUGGCGGACGGGUGAGUAACGCGUAGGAAUCUACCCCUCAAUGGAGCAUAGCUCAUCGAAAGAUGGGGUAACUCUCCAUAGUCUCUGAGAGCAAUCGAAGAGUAAAGACCGUAACUGGUCGUUGAGGGAGGAGCCUGCGUCCUAUCAGCUAGUUGGUGGGGUAAUGGCCUACCAAGGCGAUGACGGGUAGCUGGACUAAGAGGUUGGUCAGCCACAACUGCACUGAGAUACGGGCAGUACACCUACGGGUGGCAGCAACUGGGAAUAUUGCGCAAUGGACGAAAGUCUGACGCAGCGACGCCGCGUGGAGGAAGACAGCCCUCGGGUUGUAAACUCCUUUUGCCAAGCCCUUCACGGCUUGGCGAAUAAGCCCCUACUAACUACGUGCCAGAAGUCUCGGUAAUGCGUAGGGGGCAAGCGUUAUCCGGAUUCAUUGGGCGUAAAGUGUGCGUAGGCGGUCGCCAAAGUCCUAUUUUAAAUACUCGGGCUUAACCCAAGGAAAAGAUAGGAUACUGGGUGACUUGAGGAUUGGUAGAGAUGCUGGAACGGCUAGUGUAGCAGUGAAAUGCGUUGAUAUUAGCUGGAACACCAAAGGCGAAGGCAGGCAUCUAGGCUAUUCCUGACGCUGAGGCACGAAAGCUAGGGUAGCGAAACAGAUUAGAUACCUGUGUAGUCCUAGCCCUAAACUAUGUUCGCUAGCUCUUCCCCUCUUUUUUUAGGAGUGAUGGUUUAAAAAACCUAUAUUUUCUCGUAGAAAAAGAGGGGGAGGGGCGUAAGCUAACGCGUUAAGCGAACCGCCUGGGGAGUACGGCCGCAAGGCUAAAACUCAAAGGAAUUGACGGGGACCCGCACAACCGGUGGAGCGUGUGGUUCAAUUCGAGACAAAACGAAGGACCUCACCAAGGCUUGACAUGAUACCGUUUAUUCUCCAAGAAACUGGAGGAAAUCCGCAAGGAUGGUACCACAGGUGCUGCAUGGCUGUCGUCAGCUCGUGCCGUGAGGUGUUCCCUUAAGUGGGGAAACGAGCGCAACCCCCAUCCAAUGUUAAAUAUUCAUUGGAGACAGUCCCGAUUUAAUCGGGAAGGAAGAAGGGGAAGACGUCAAGUCAGCACGGCCCUUAUGCCUUGGGCCACACACACACUACAAUGGCGAAAAACAACGGGUUGCAAGCCGGUAACGGCAAGCUAAUCCCUCAAAUUUCGUCUCAGUUCAGAUUGGGGGCUGAAACCCGCUCCCAUGAAGUUGGAAUCGGUAGUAAUCGCGGAUCAGAAUGCCGCGGUGAAUACGUUCUCGGGUCUUGUACACACCGCCCGUCUUAAUUAGGCGGCCUAAAGAUGUAAGUCUUUAGGUAAAAUCAGCUAAUAA